rnacentral:rRNA from 1 species
AUUGAACGCUGGCGGCAGGCUUAACACAUGCAAGUCGAACGGAAGGAGCCUGCUUUUUCGUGGUUUCCGCGUGGGACGGGGGUGUAAAGCCUAUGAAUAUCCUUCCUUUGGGUUUGGAAUAUCUUCAGACAAGUGGUGAUACCGCAUAAGUCCUGAUCGUGCAGGUGGGUGGGGUUCGGAACUGGCGGGAGGAGAUGGACUCACGGCUGAUUAUCUAGUUGGUGGGGUAGUGGCCUACCAACGCGAUGAUCGGUAGCUGGCCUGAGAGGGUGAGCGGCCACAUUGGGACUGAGAUACGGCCCAGACUCCUACGGGAGGCAGCAGUGGGGAAUAUUGCACAGUGGGCGGAAGCCUGAGGCAGCAACGCCGCGUGCGGGAUGACGGCCUUCGGGUUGUAAACCGCUUUCGCCUGUGACGAAGCGUGAGUGACGGUAAUGGGUAAAGAAGCACCGGCUAACUACGUG